UGAACGCUGGCGGCAGGCCUAACACAUGCAAGUCGAACGGUAACAGGAAGCAGCUUGCUGCUUCGCUGGCGAGUGGCGGACGGGUGAGUAAUGUCUGGGAAACUGCCUGAUGGAGGGGGAUAACUACUGGAAACGGUAGCUAAUACCGCAUAAUGUCGCAAGACCAAAGAGGGGGACCUUCGGGCCUCUUGCCAUCGGAUGUGCCCAGAUGGGAUUAGCUAGUAGGUGGGGUAACGGCUCACCUAGGCGACGAUCCCUAGCUGGUCUGAGAGGAUGACCAGCCACACUGGAACUGAGACACGGUCCAGACUCCUACGGGAGGCAGCAGUGGGGAAUAUUGCACAAUGGGCGCAAGCCUGAUGCAGCCAUGCCGCGUGUAUGAAGAAGGCCUUCGGGUUGUAAAGUACUUUCAGCGGGGAGGAAGGCGAUAAGGUUAAUAACCUUGUCGAUUGACGUUACCCGCAGAAGAAGCACCGGCUAACUCCGUGCCAGCAGCCGCGGUAAUACGGAGGGUGCAAGCGUUAAUCGGAAUUACUGGGCGUAAAGCGCACGCAGGCGGUCUGUCAAGUCGGAUGUGAAAUCCCCGGGGCUCAACCUGGGAACUGCAUUCGAAACUGGCAGGCUAGAGUCUUGUAGAGGGGGGUAGAAUUUCCAGGUGUAGCGGUGAAAUGCGUAGAGAUCUGGAGGGAUACCGGGUGGCGAAGGCGGCCCCCUGGACAAAGACUGACGCUCAGGUGCGAAAAGCGUGGGGAGCAAACAGGAUUAGAUACCCCUGGUAGUCCACGCCGUAAACGAUGUCGACUUGGAGGUUGUGCCCUUGAGGCGUGGCUUCCGGAGCUAACGCGUUAAGUCGACCGCCUGGGGAGUACGGCCGCAAGGUUAAAACUCAAAUGAAUUGACGGGGGCCCGCACAAGCGGUGGAGCAUGUGGUUUAAUUCGAUGCAACGCGAAGAACCUUACCUACUCUUGACAUCCAGAGAACUUUCCAGAGAUGGAUUGGUGCCUUCGGGAACUCUGAGACAGGUGCUGCAUGGCUGUCGUCAGCUCGUGUUGUGAAAUGUUGGGUUAAGUCCCGCAACGAGCGCAACCCUUAUCCUUUGUUGCCAGCGGUUAGGCCGGGAACUCAAAGGAGACUGCCAGUGAUAAACUGGAGGAAGGUGGGGAUGACGUCAAGUCAUCAUGGCCCUUACGAGUAGGGCUACACACGUGCUACAAUGGCGCAUACAAAGAGAAGCGACCUCGCGAGAGCAAGCGGACCUCAUAAAGUGCGUCGUAGUCCGGAUUGGAGUCUGCAACUCGACUCCAUGAAGUCGGAAUCGCUAGUAAUCGUGGAUCAGAAUGCCACGGUGAAUACGUUCCCGGGCCUUGUACACACCGC
rnacentral:rRNA from 1 species